rnacentral:misc_RNA from 1 species
GUAGGUGAACCUGCGGAAGGAUCAUUAACACUAAUGAAAUCCAAAACCUUUUGGAUCAACCCAACCUUAGCGAACCGUUCGUUUUUUUUCCCUUGCCCCUUUUUUACUGUACCAAACUCAAUCUGAUGUAAAGUGUCUGAUUUCUUAUUCUCGGCCGCAGGGGGGAAAUCAACCCCUCUGUGUGCGGGAAUCAAAAUCUAACGCAAUACAACUCUUAACAACGGAUAUCUUGGCUCUC